CGUAGGGUGCAAGCGUUAAUCGGAAUUACUGGGCGUAAAGCGUGCGCAGGCGGUUAUAUAAGACAGAUGUGAAAUCCCCGGGCUCAACCUGGGAACUGCAUUUGUGACUGUAUAGCUAGAGUACGGUAGAGGGGGAUGGAAUUCCGCGUGUAGCAGUGAAAUGCGUAGAUAUGCGGAGGAACACCGAUGGCGAAGGCAAUCCCCUGGACCUGUACUGACGCUCAUGCACGAAAGCGUGGGGAGCAAACAGGAUUAGAUACCCUGGUAGUCCACGCCCUAAACGAUGUCAACUGGUUGUUGGGUCUUCACUGACUCAGUAACGAAGCUAACGCGUGAAGUUGAUCGCCUGGGGAGUACGGCCGCAAGGUUG
rnacentral:rRNA from 1 species